rnacentral:rRNA from 1 species
UACGUAGGUGGCGAGCGUUGUCCGGAUUUACUGGGCGUAAAGAGCGCGCAGGCGGUCGGAUAAGUCGCGUGUGAAAGCCCCCGGCUCAACUGGGGAGGGUCACGCGAUACUGUUCGACUCGAAGGCAGGAGAGGGAAGUGGAAUUCCCGGUGUAGUGGUGAAAUGCGUAGAUAUCGGGAGGAACACCAGUGGCGAAGGCGACUUCCUGGCCUGUUCUUGACGCUGAGGCGCGAAAGCUAGGGUAGCAAACGGG